AACGAACGCUGGCGGCAUGCCUAACACAUGCAAGUCGAACGAUUCCUUCGGGCAUAGUGGCGCACGUGUGAGUAACUCGUGGGAACCUGCCCUUUGGUACGGAAUAACUCCUUUAAACUGGAGCUAAUACCGUAUUUUUCCCCUGGGACAAAGAUUUAUCGCCACGGGAUGGGACCGCGUAGGAUUAGCUUGUUGGUGGGGUAACGGCCUACCAAGGCUACGAUACUUAUCUGGUCUGAGAGGAUGAUCAGCCACACUGGGACUGAGACACGGCCCUGACUCUUACGGGAGGAAGAAGUGGGGAACACUGGACAACCGGCGCAAGCCUGACCCAGCCAUGCUGCGUGAGUGAUGAAGGCCUUCGGGUUGUAAAGCUCUAUGGAAAGAGAAGAUGAUGACGGUAGCGGGAGAAGAAGCGCCGGCUAACUUCGUG
rnacentral:rRNA from 1 species